rnacentral:rRNA from 1 species
CGGAGGAGCAUGUGGUUUAAUUCGAUGAUACGCGAGGAACCUUUACCUGGGCUCGAACGUAAGAUGACUGUAGGUGAAAGCUUACAUCUCUUCGGAGCAUUUUACGAGGUGCUGCAUGGUUGUCGUCAGCUCGUGCCGUGAGGUGUCGGGUUAAGUCCCAUAACGAGCGCAACCCUACCUUUAGUUGCCAUCAGGUUAAGCUGGGGACUCUAAAGGAACUGCCUACGCAAGUAGUGAGGAAGGCGGGGACGACGUCAAAUCAGCACGGCCCUUACGUCCAGGGCUACACACGUGCUACAAUGGCCGAUACAGAGGGCAGCUACCUGGUGACAGGAUGCAAAUCUCCAAAGUCGGUCUCAGUUCGGAUCGGAGUCUGCAACCCGACUCCGUGAAGUUGGAUUCGCUAGUAAUCGCGCAUCAGCCAUGGCGCGGUGAAUACGUUCCCGGGCCUU